UUACGGCCAAACCGCACCGAAAACACUGGUUCUCGUUUGAUCACUGAAUUUAAGCAGUGUCGAGCCCUGUAACUACUUAGAGGAGGGCCCACUUGGGAACACUGGU